UGAGCCACUGUAGGUAGAUGAAUACCAGAAUAUUAGAUGUGAGAAUGCAAAGAGUGUAGACUGACCACAGAGAAGGAAAAAUGCCUGUAACCUCGUGACACCACCAAGAGAUUGGUGCCAGCAUGAGAUUUCUUCUCAGUGGAUCUCAGUUCUACCAUCACUCUAGAGAGAUCAGGCGAUGGGAUGGAAAAGUACUGUUCUGAAUUCCUUGAUGUUCAAGAAUUGUGAUAACCAUGGAAAUGUUUUCGCUACCCAGAGUCUCCAGUUCCACAUUACUGGAAAGGCCAGCUCAGGCCACCCCUACCAGGAAGCUCAACAUCCACUUCCCAGGACUUACUGCACAUUCGCCAAGUCCACCUCCUUCGUCCUUCAUUCCUCUCAGAUGGAAGGUCAGCGUCCUUCCUCCCCUCUCUGGUCUCUCUCCCAUCCACAUUGACUCUCUGAAAAAGUCUGCAGAGUCGGGCAAACAAGGCCAUCACUGCAAUGUCCAGCCUCUGACUGAGAAAUCUCAGUGGGUUUGUUGUCACUACAACACUGGUGACAUCACGGAGGUUGCUAAGAACUCUCCAGGAGACAAUAGAACGUCCAAGAAGGGACUGCUGAUGUCAUGGACUACAUACAGCCUUUGGUUCCCUGCUAAUGUUUCCCUGUACUGAUAGGAAACUGAGCUGCCCUUUCCUGGGGCAUAGCCAUUGAGCACAUCCUCCUUCCAAAGCCAGGGUUUGCUCUAGGCUUGAUUGGCAACACCUAAGUAAUUCCUAUGUAUCUAACUGAGUGUUUCCUUUCCAAACCCUUCUCAGAAAUAUCUCAUCCUACCUUAAAUUUUCCUCAAUCAGCAGUAGGAGCCAUUAAAACCUACUGAGAAAUCAUACCAGUUCGAAUAUGCAGCCAAAAUCUACUCCUGUCUCAUCAUGUACAGGUGCAUGAAAUCUCAUCCAGGCUGAACCUGCAGGGCUGGGUGUAGUGUGGGUGUGUGUUAGGGGCCACACUCAUGAAGCCUUGUGCUUAGCAUUUGAAAUUUGCCCCAAGAUCCCUUAGGAGGGAGACAUGCAGUCAUCAUGCAGUCAUCACUCAGUCAUUAUGCUUCUGACAACAGUCUAGAGAUCUGUUGGCAGAGGAAACUGAAAUAUUGGAGCCACAAAUGAGUGGCCCUCAGAUUGUGUGUGGGUUUUUCUCACUGCACCAAACUCACCAAUCAGUAUUGCUUAUAGCCCUCUGUGUGCUAGACCAUGAGAUUUUGUUUGUAAUAAAUAAUAUAUUCAACAGAGUUGCAGAUGUGCAGGUAGAAAGUGUAGUCUAAUACUAUAGACAGGUUAGUUGACAGAGUAAGGGUCUAGCAUCUUGUAUUUGGGUUCAUGUUUGGAUCCACAAACCACACAAAACCCAAUCCUAGUCAAACAUCAAUGAUUCAUUAAAUGCAGACCCUAAAGUUGAUUGAUCAGAACCAUAGCUCAGGUUUUGGGGGUUGAGCCAUAGCUUCAAAAAUCUAUCUUUGUUAACUUAUAAAGACAAAAAAACCGAAAACCAAAACCCUAAAACCAAAACAAACAAACAAACAAAAACAAAUGAAAAAACACAAUUAGUUCAUUUAAAGUUAGGGAAAUAUCCAGUGGUCUGUUCUGAUCAGGCCAUUUUACAUAUAACUGCAUACUGACCUUUAAUUGGAGGGUCCCAUGGAUUGGUUUAUGGACCAUUGUAAGAUUAACAAGCCUCAUACAGAACACAACAGGAUGUGGACACCAUGACUUUGCUCUGAGUCAAGUUAUUUUUUCUGUGUUGAUGAUUGGCUGUCAUAUCACAGCAACUGUCUGAAAUAGAGGGCAGACAUAGAACACAAUGGCUCUUGCUAUACUGGGUGGUAUAUGCCUUAGCAUUAGAUUAUCCAGGUCUCUCACAAUGACCAGUUCUGUUUUCAAAGUACUUGAAGGCCCCACUUGGAAGCCCAAAUAUAGGAAAGUGGAAGCAGAAUUGUCUGAGCUCAAGGUUAACCUGGUCCACAUGGGGUAUUUGAGACCCUGUUUCAUAAAACAACACUGAAACACACACUACAUCCAAGGCCUAAUUUACCAAUUCUUGUCUAAGAACUUAUCAUUCUCUCCCUUCCAGUCUUUCUUUCUGGGAAGAUGGAGCAGUGAAAAUGAUCUUUUCAUUCUAAGGACCAUGUUCUCUUUUUCCCUCAGCCCACGUUAAGAACAAAUGAAGGUGAAUACCAUCAUCUGAACAACUGAGUAAUAUCCACUGCUGCUAGCGUGAUAAUGUGCCGAUGAUAAUUUUAGCUUCCUUUAGUGUUGCUGCCCCAGCAGGAAGUAUUAAGUGCUGAGGCCAAAGCUCAGAGAACCUUUCAAGGGGCUAGACAGAAGCCAUCAGAGACUCUCCACUUCCUUGUCCUGAGAUGAAAUCCAGGAACACAAUGUGAACCUGAUGGCUAAUUAACCAUACAUCGUACUUCUACCUCCACCUUUCUACGUUCAGUACAGGAAAGUGUUUAUGCACCUCCAUGCCAGAUUUAUCUUGAUAUAUGUCGCAGGGCGCAGACUUUUUAGAGAGUUGGGUGUAGUCAAGCAGUUGGUGCCCUCAGUAAGAUGUCAAGACUAUCAAUAACAAGUGACCACAUUGUAUUUGUUUAAAAAGUACAUUAGCUGUAAAUUGAGCAUAACUGAGGAAUGGGACACCAGCACUGUGUCCUGGCUUUUUUGUGCCUAGACACGGCUCAAAGGGAAGGUGUGAGGACACCUUGGGUUCCUCUGCAUGGACAGAGUAAGGUGAAAUGGGCACUGACUAGGCUGAGCAAUACUUCUGAGGCCCCUUAUUUCAGUUAACAAACACAUUCUCUGUCCUCCUUCCAAAGAGCUUCUGUUGAGACCAUGCACCUUGUAAGGUAAGGCUAUAGUAAGGUCACGCAGACUUCUUUCCUCGUGAUACAAAGUUCUCUCUGAUAAGUUCUUCUUAUCAGAGAGAACUUUGUAUUGCUAGGUAUGGUAUGCACCAUACCAUAUCUGUAGCAAAUUUCUUAUAAGCCAGCAGUCUAUUUCAUGCUGUUCCUGUAAUAUGCUUCCCAGUCAUGGAUAUAAAACAAACAAAAAAAAUCUUGGCUCAGAGCAGAGUUAUGCUGUCCAUGUACCCUGUCACGUUCUGUAUGUUAUGAGGUUUGUUAAUCUUAUGAAAUUCCACAUCUAUAUGUUUCACAUAAGACUUCAAAUUCAAGGUCAAUAUGAACUAUUAUGUCUAAAACAGCUUGAGUCAGGGCAGCAUUUCCAGCCCUUGUGCGUGAGCUCUUUGUGUUUUUUUUCAUGGAGCUGCCCCUAAGAAAUGCCUAGCAUACAGUUUUCAGCUGUUACCCUGGUUGUUCAGUCAUGGGGUGUGCAUUCAAUAAACCUUCCCUGUUUAACUGAA